rnacentral:rRNA from 1 species
UACGGAGGGGGCUAGCGUUGUUCGGAAUUAUUGGGCGUAAAGCGCGCGCAGGCGGUCCUUUAAGUCUGAUGUGAAAGCCCACGGCUCAACCGUGGAGGGUCAUUGGAAACUGGGGGACUUGAGUACAGAAGAGGAAAGCGGAAUUCCAAGUGUAGCGGUGAAAUGCGUAGAGAUUUGGAGGAACACCAGUGGCGAAGGCGGCUUUCUGGUCUGUAACUGACGCUGAGGCGCGAAAGCGUGGGGAGCAAACAGG